GAAUUACAGUGAAUAUUAGACUGACAGCAGUAUAAACUAUUGAAGAUCCUUUGCAUGUCUUUACAUAAUCAGCACAUGCUUCAGUGAUCUGAGAGUGUUUAUAGUGCUGUGAGUUUAACACUUCAUGACUGAGAACACAACACAAUCUUCAUCAACACACAACACAACAACAAUGACCUUCAUCAUCAUCUUCAUCUGGACACUCACAGUGUUUGCUCAAAAGUGUAAUGGACAGAUCACAGUCACUCAGAGUCCCUCAACAACAGCAGCUCAACCAGGACAAGAAGUUAAAAGAAACUGUAAAACCAGCAGUGAUGUCUACCGGCACAGUAGUGUGGGAUACCUCUUGAGCUGGUACUUACAGAAACCUGGAGAAGCUCCUAAACUCCUCAUAUAUUAUACAAGCACCCCCCAGUCUGGAACUCCAUCUAGAUCCUUUUUGUGGUCUUGCGUUUGGCUUUCAACACCUUCAUCCCAGCUAUACUCCAGACUAAACUACACCAGCUCUCUGUUCCCACAUCAAUCUGUCAGUGGAUUACCAGCUUUCUGACAGACAGGCAGCAGCUUGUGAGACAGGGGAAAUUCACUUCCAGCACCUGUACAACCAGCACUGGUGCCCCCCAGGGAUGUGUGCUCUCCCCACUACUCUUCUCUCUCUACACAAAUGACUGCAUCGCCAAGGACCCCUUUGUCAAGCACCUGAAGUUUGCAGACGACACCACUGUCAUCAGCCUCAUCCGAGAUGACGAAGAGUCAGCAUAGCGAAGGGAGGUUGAACAGCCGGCCGUCUGGUGCAGUCAAAACAACCUGGAGCUGAACACGCUAAAAAACAAUGCAGAUGACUGUGGACUGUGGAUGAGGAGGAACACCCCAACAUUGACCCCCCUUACCAUUCUGAACAGCACUGUGGCAACAUUGGAGUCAUUCAGUUUCCUUGGCACUACAAUCUCACAGGACCCGAAGUGGGAGACCCAUGUUGGGCCUCAUGUAUUCAGAUAGAAGACAAAGGCAGGCCUAACAGUCAUAAAAACAUAACUCAAGCCCCCACCUUCUAAGUCGUAAAUUUUUCUGAUAAAAAUCGCGCCAAAAUCAAACAAAGGAAGUCCAAAACAGACUACAAAUCCAGGAAGCCUUGCUCACUAAAGGAUCGAGCUCUCAACUCCUAUUGGAUGAGGCACACAACAGAACGUCCCUCAAA